AAAAUGGGCUCGGGCAUUUUCAUGUCGUCGUUGCUCAAGCUCUUUCUUCUGCCUUAGCACUCCCAAUCGGAGUUCAACCUCUUGUUGAAGGGCCUCGGAUUCGAGCUGAAGAGCCUGAAUGUGCAAAGCAUGGAUCUCUUCCUCGAGCUCGCGAAACUCUCGCUUUCGUUCGGUUAUGCGAUCAAAAAUAUCGACCAUGUCGACUUGUAAGCGGAAUUGAAAGAAUCGCGACCAUUCCACCACACACUGGAUCAAAAGGGCGUUGCAGACAGGCGGGAACAAGAGCCCAAGGGCGGAUGACAGCAGAUCCUCUUGGGCCUUGACGGGCGGGAUGAUGAGGACAACAAUUAGAAGGACGAUUGCCAUCCAGAAAAGUGCGGUGCGAGAAAAGAGUGGCAUUUCCUCCGGACAUUUUCCUACUACAUUGACAGGGGCUGUUGAUCAACACUCACUCAGCUUGUGGGCUCAAUUGGAUGACAUCACAUCGGGGCCAGCUUGCCAGCUUACCAAAGAGAAAUUAAGAGUGUGUUCUUUCUUCAAGAUGGAAUUGCUCUCUCUAAGACCAAGAGGGCCAGGGAGAUGGUUGUCUUUGAUAGUGGAUAAUGGUUCAACUUGGAAUGUAAAUGGACGCACGCCGAAAGACCAAAUUAAAAUCAUCCAAGAAUGUCUUUUGACGAACGGUACUCAUGAUAAAACAACACACGAUAUUCAGUGUGACUUCCAUCCCACCUUGUCGAUGGUGGUUUCUAUCCUAACGAGAAUUGAAUCCGCCAACGGUGGCUGUCACACCUACGACAUACAAAGGCCACAUAUUUGGGCAGCAUUCAAGUCAAUUUCCUUCCUCACAAAUCGAACCAGAUCGAUCAUUUGUCACGGAAUUAUGUCAUCCAAGCCAAUAGCGUCUUGAGAGUGAAAGGUAGAAAGGUAAACAUGGAUUGUUCCCGUGAAGGAUAAUCUCUGUAUAUCAGAAUCAAAGAAUCAAUCGAACACAUUGCUGACAUUCCAAGCUUGUAUAGCAGACGAACAUCGAUGUUGGAGGAGGAUGUGUCUGGUGUUACAUUCGAUUUUCAUUCUACUUCUUCCACAAUUUCUCUGUCUGUGAAAAGCCGGGAGGGGAUUGCUCCCUUGUUUUCAAGCAUAUUGAAUAAGAUCAUAUUUCAAGCA